rnacentral:lncRNA from 1 species
UCAGGAUGUCUUGUGGUGAAAGGGGCUGAGCUCCCUUGAGGCGUACAUGAAUUUCACUUUUACUGUAGAAACUGAAGUUUAGGUCUCUCCUGUCCUCUCCUGGAUGUCAGAUUUUCCUGUGGAAAUUGGUAUUGAUGUUUAUUUCCCUUUGAAACCAGGAUUUCUCCCUGUCCCAUGGCCCCAGCAAGAGUGCCAGACCAGCCUACAGGCCGCAGACCCACAGAGGCAACAGCUUCUCAAACUGCCAAGACUUCCAGCCCUUUGUCCUCAACUUGAAAGAGUCUCCUGGGCUCCCUUUGUCUGCCCUUCUCUCUGCUUCGACAGUUGACAGUCGUAGAUUCACUGCCACAAUCAAGUGGUAAACCGUCUCAUCCCGUCAUUCUGAGCAGUUCUCAGUGCCCCUUUGCAGCCAGUCCCUCUCCUCUACCACCAGUCUUGAGCAGCCAUUGAUCCUCUGUCACCGUAGUUUUGCCUUUUCCUGCAGGUGAAUGAAAUAACUGUACAGUCUGGGGUGUGUUUCUUCAGGCUUCUAACCCUUAGCAUAAUGCUUCUGGGAUUCAGCUACCUUGUUUUAUCAGUAGUUUGUUUGUUUUGUUGCUUAGUAUUUCCUUAUAUGGAUGCACUCGUAUUUGUCCAUUUGAUGUUUGUUUCCAUUCAGGCUGCUGUGAAUAUUUGUGCACAAGUCUUUAGGGUAAGCACACAGAAGACGGACUGCCAGGUUUUAUGGUAAAUAUGUGUCAAACCAUUUAGGAAACUGUUUUCCAAAGUAGUCCCAUUUUGUAUUCCCACCAAUAGUAUGUUUUGGUUGUUCUUAUCCUUCCCAAUACCUUCUUUUACUGCACUUUCUUAUACUUUGUGGAUACUGAAUUUUGUACAAAUUGAAGUUUUGUGGCACCCCUGUGUCAAUCAAGUCUAUCUGCAAUUUUUCUAGCACCUCUGAUGAUUGUUAGCAUUUUUCAACAAUAAAGUUUUUUUUUAAUCAAGGUAUUCACAUUACUGACAGAAUGCUAUUACACACUUACAUGACUACAGUACAGUGUAAACAUAACUUUCUUAUGCACUGGAAAAUUUAAAAAUUUGCAUGACUUGCCUUAUUGUCACACUCAUUUUAUUGCAGUGACCUGGAUCCAAGCCUGCAGUAUCUCUGAGGUAUCCUGUACUUGGUAUUGUCAGUCCUUUUUUUUUUUUUUUUGGUACCCGGGAUCAAACUCUGGCCCUUGCAAGGCAGGUGGUGGCACCA